GAAAGAAAAAAAUUUUCAGUACCUCCUGCUCAAUGUUUCUAUAAAUAGCCGCAAUAAUUCUGUGCUAAGGUAGCAUAAUCAUUUGCCUAGUAAUUAUAGGAUGGAAUGAAAGGAAGACCAUGUGAAUUUCUUUAUAUAAAAAAAAUUAUUUAAUUUAUUUAAUAAGUAAAAACCCUUAUUUUAUUAGGGGGACGACAAGACCCUAUCAAACUUCACAUUUAUGUUUAGCUGGGGCGGCAAAAAACUAUAACUUUUUAACUUCUACUCCCUACAACUUUUAAUAAAAAUUUUUACCAAGUUACUGUAGGGAUAACAGCAUAAUCUUUUUCAAAAGAUCUUAUAAAAAAAAAGGUUUAUGACCUCGAUGUUGAAUUAAGAACCUCCUACGAAGCAACAAUCUAGGAAGAAAGUCUGUUCGACUUUUAAUCCCUU
rnacentral:rRNA from 1 species